GUGCUAGUAUAGUAAUACGUAAAUGAUGAUUAAAAAAUUUAUUAAUAAUACAACAAACCGCGGUAUUGGAAGUGUAUCUUAAAACACGUGCUCAUACCAAAGAAGUUUUGUAUAUUGAAACGGGAACUUAAUGUCUCCGAGGUCCAGAGUCUCAACAAGAGUCGCGGUGAAGAUGGGAUGCUGCGCGAAUUAAGCCAGCGCACACGACUCGGCCGAGUCUUCGCGAAGAACUGGAAGAAGAGCAACUGGAUAAAGUAAGACAGAGAGACCGAGUGGAGUCGAAUAAUCAAAGGAAUACAUGUGGAUGGAGCUUAAUAUUUUUUUUGUCCAUCUGUAUCCAGUGUUUUUAAUAGUAAGGUUCCCAGUGGUCCAACUUCGUAAAGUUCUACCAUAAGUAUCGUUAGGCGUGCUGAGAGAAUUUAACUUGGGCAGGUUUUCAAUUCUCGGAACAGCUGAUCCCACUCUACCAUUACUGUACAUACCAAUGCUCUCUAUAGUCAAAGUGUUGUCGGUGGGUUGCAGUGUCUAAUAAAAUAUUGCGUGUUGGUGAAAUAAUGGUGAAUGAGUCAAGCUGUCCGUUACUGUGGUUAACGAUUUAGAUAACGUCGGUAAGACAAUGUAGAUAAUACAGAUAGUUAUUAUACGAUUACUUAACGUACAUAUAUUCGUAUAUCUCAGACCAACCUGGCCUUGCAAAAGCAAAUUAUAUGACACGUGUUUUCUAGUAUUUCGUUCAGGAAUCACAACACGAUUUCACGUUUUGAAAUCCACUUGGUUUGGUAAGUUAAAGGCGGAUUUGCAUACGAAUGUCGGAGCUCGGCGUCGCUCGUUAUACCUACGAAUAAAGACAGAGUCGCGCGAGCGGCGUAACUAAUCGUUUAAGCUCGUCGCCGCUUUGGAAACGCGACACUAUGGACGUAUUCCAAAGAGAUGCUAAACAAGGUGUCACACUCCUUCGACCCUCGAUGAUGGUCUUCACUCAGGAUCACCUCGUAAAUUAAUCUCCAGCUCGUAUCUUCAGGAAAUUAAUGAGACAAAGCCGAGGGGUAGAUCGGGAUGCUGAGAAGCAUGAAUGGAGCAUGGUUCCCAUUAUGUGAAUGGAUUAUGAGGUCUGACUGUCUGUGCUUGACUUUGUAUUACAGGGUCGGGUCAGGUCAGGUCAGGAAAGCCAUCCCUAAUUUCGUUAAUCGUUGUCUAAAGGCAUGACCGAGGAUUAAAUUUACAGGAGGUUCCUGCAUCGAUUUGUAAAAUUUGGAAAAUAUUUUUCAUAAAAUACGCAGAAAUACUUCAUCGAGAUGGUCUUGCAGUAAGUAGGCAGGAGAAAUCCACUUCAGCGAAUUUUCAGCGGUUCGAAUUUACUCGAAGUGGAAGGGACCCUUGGCCUCGGGGGCCACUUGUUGCGCUGGCUCAGACUUCCUGCUGACUUGUCCCGGCGGGACGCGAGUUGCUCCAGCAACUUCGAAUACCCUGGCAAACCGACCAGCGGAAUGCCUAAUCGUUUCUUUAUUCGAAUCCUUAAUCGAUCUCGCGAGCAAUUCGCAGAUCCUGAUAGAAUUUCGAUCGUUGAGUGCGGUGUGAACGUCACGAUAUACCGAUUCCCAAUGUAUAUAGAAACUCACCCUUAGGAAAGAUCAAUAGCAGCGACAAGAUUUCUAGAACAAAUCGCAUAGUGAAGUAAGCCGAGGAAAUAAAUGUGGAAUAGCCAACGUCAUAACAGUAAAUUAGCAUCAGAAAAGUCAACAGAUCAUUACUGUAUAUACAGGGUGUACUAUACUAAAGUAUAUAUACAUAAAUUUUUCUCAAAAAACAU